CUAAAAUAACGAAAUCGAUAAUAUGUGCAUGUUACUUAACAAUAACCUCAUUCAUGUUCAAAAAAUUAUUCAUUCUGACAAGAUUAUUAUCCGCAUCAACGUGAUACUAUAAUUUCGAAUCCCAUGAUUCAAUAAAUUGGUUAUCCAAUGAAAAGCAUCCGCCUGUUAAGGUAUUAAAUAAUCGACAACAACAAAUUCCGAUUAUGACACAAUAUAACGGGAACAAUCUUCGGAACACGCCCAACAUUGUAAUCGAAAAAAAUUUCACGGAACACCCUCCACCGGUAUAACAUCGGGAUAAUUAAUGCGAUAAAUCAAUUCUAUUCAAGGUCGUGCAAAGACCGGUAAUCGGCGUAGACGGUUAAGAGUGGGGAAAUUCUGUAUGCAAGGUGGGAGCGUGUUGCGCAGGCCCGAGGUUCUCGGUCGGAAAAGACAGAGCGGCCAUCUCUGUCGUUCCUCGGUCGUGCAGUUUUGAUUAGAGAGCGUCUAUCGCGCGUCGUAGCGCUCGUAGCGGCGACAGCCUCAAAAAUAGCUGAGGCCUCCUCGCAGGCUGGCACACUCCCAACGGUCUAUACUUGGACAUCCCUGCGCCAUGAUUAUUUAUAGUGAGCGCGAGCGCGGCCACUGGCCUUCCCGCGAACUAACUAACCGCCUCCAAAGACGAUCCGUCGCCCGUGACCUAGGCCCGCAUUAAUAAUGAUUACACCCCUGCGCUCAGGAAUACGACAACUUAACCUCUCGCUCUUCUACAAUGAAUCCUCGUUUCGCUUUGUCUUUUUAUACAUGCGACUUAUAAGUGGUUAAUAUAAAUAUAUAUAAAACAAACAGUUUGAUUAAAGAUAAAUAACAAUUCAUGUUAAAUGAAUGAUCAAGAUUCUUGAGGAUUGCAAAUAUUAUAGAUGUCGCUUUAAAAGUUUAUUUCUGUGUAACCGAACGAAAACCGCUCCGGCUUACUUUCACGGCCACGAAAAAAAGGCGAAUCGUUUUCCAUCCGCACGGAUCAUAAUUUUACGCCACACCACGGACUCGUGUUGGCAAGAAAGAAUCUUCGUGUGAAAGCUUCUCGAAAAAACAAGAAGAGAAAAAGGGUGAAAAUAGAAAGAAGAGCAAAACGCAACGUGGGAUCGAUCCUCCUCGAGAAUACAGGAAAAAUUUCUAUAAUAUCAAUUUCACGCGCGAAAUUUGGAUGCCCACGAAUGUCACUGUUUCUAAUAAUAACGGAAACAAAGCGAGCCUCUUGAUGCUCGUCCAGAAAGCUAUAAUAUAUCGCAUCGAUUCUCACCAACGUUUUAUUCGAUGCGGAGGAAAUUGUUCGUGUCUCGUCCGUUUGGAAAACUUGGAUCGUUUGGAUCAGGGAGAGGAAAGUAUACGCGAACUAGUUUCCUAAGAAAUAUACGCGUUUACGAGUUACUUGGUCGGGGAAAUACUAUAAACUUAGGGUGAAAUCUUUUAAACUGGAAACUUUUAACGAUUCAAUAACACUGGUUAUGGUAAUCUUGGAAUGAUAUCGAGCAACGUAAAUUUGGGGAAAAAUGUGCUAAUAGAUUAUGUAUGAUAUAAGACAGGAAAUUUGUGUCAUCUUCUCGUUUAAAUCAAUAGUGAAUUGGCAGGAAGAGUCGAUAUUUUUAAACGAAGGUAUUAAUAGUAGAUAGUCUAUUUAUAUACAAUUAUUUUUCUCAGACUGGAUAUUGAAAUUUCCUAUUGUUCUUACUUUCAAUUCAUUUUCCUUCCUGUUAUCUCAACUCGAUAAGAACAAGAAUGUGGAAUGAAAAUCGAAAAAGCUUUUAACAGAAAUAAAAAUUAUCGCUCGAUCGUUCAAAUUCGCACGUUAGAAGUUCUCGAAUCUCCAACCCCUUCGCUCCAUCAUCCCAAAACUCGUUGGCUAUAAACGUAACCCGGAACCCAUGCCAACUUUGCAUCGCAACACGACGCGUUCGUUUCACCCCAACGAUGGCUGUCAUCGGUUUCGAAACUUCCGCUCGCAUUUCUGCGAGCUAAAGUUUUUCGCCAAAGUCCCGAAAUUAGGUCGAUUUCGGUAUCGGUAAUGAUUCGCAAGCGUCACAAUCGAGACGAGAUCCAUCCUGGUUGUUGGCAACCCGUGCUAAUGGCUCGUGCCCGCAAUUAGGGGCUCGCGUUUCCUCAAAAGACCGCGUAACGAGUCUACAAAGCUGGCAUUUUCAGCUAGACGGCGCGGGAUCCGCGACAUCGUGCAUAAAGGAGUUCGAAAGAAGCGGCGGCCGGUUUCCAGGAAACGCGUUUAAUACACUUUGAACCAGUUACCAUCAAUUAACGUGACUUUACCGUGAGACGUAAAU
rnacentral:lncRNA from 11 species